AUGGAUUGUGAUCUCCAUAAUAGUCAAGGGACUGAUUCGUGGUUACCCGUAAAACAUUAAAGAAUCGGCCGACGAAAUUAAAAAAGGAGCAGGCAAAUGUCUAAACGACAAGUUGAUCUUUAUAUAUGUGGUGCCCAUAUUUGUUAACGGUCGACAUUUUGCUUAAAUACUGACCUCUUCCUCUUCAACGUUCUUUGCUCAAGGGGUCGGCUAUUUGUAGAGAGGAUUUUGAGGCGAGGAGAGAGAGAGAGACAGAGAGAGAGAGAGAGGCUUUGACAGAAGGAGAACCACUCCCUUUCUCUUUUUAUCAGGUAUUUAUUACAUUUUCUUUUUCGUUUGAUCGUUUUUUAGCUCUCUCUGUUCUUGCUGGUUCAAUCAAUCAUGAACUUGCACUUGGUGUUUGAUCCUCUCGUGGGCUAUGUUAAACAAUGUCUGUUUUCUGUUCUUCUUCUCCAGGGUCUUAUAUAUUUUAGUUAGAUCCAGGUACCAAAGAUGAUGGAUUUGUUCAAGAUUAAUAACAAUUUUCUUAAAAAAUCUUGGGAUAUAUUCAUUUUUCUUCUCUUAAUAAAAGAAAACGUAGCUGAUCUAACACUGGC
rnacentral:lncRNA from 1 species